CUCGACUGAAGAACAACUUAGCUCCAUCCCUUGGUCUUGGAUGUGGAUCAAAUGCUAUACUAGCUUCUGGAUUUAGAAGUUCCCAUAUGCUCCAACAAAACUUGCUGAUUAGCCAGAUCUUAAAAUGACAUCAUGCCAUUGCACUCCCUUAGUAUUCUUACAAAGUGUAAAUGAGUCAUCAAGCAAACUAUAUAUUCAUUUUUUUUACGUAUAUUUGAGGCACGCAUUGCAUCACUCUCUCUUGUUAGUUUCAGUUUCCCUUCAGUUUUAAAGGUCAUUCGAUUUAACACAAAUGUUAUCGUAAAAAGAAUGUUGAAUUAAAGAACUGUCACUUGUUACUUCUCUUCAUGCCUAUAGAGGAGCUAAGAUGAACAGGCACAUUGGAUGAGCUUCUUCGGUAAAACAUCAGCAGCGAAGAAAACAACAACCCAACAGAGACAGCGAAUGGUGAUGAGGGAACACCAACGGGCCGAUGGCCAACCUGUUAGAGGCAAAGACCGGAGGAACACCAACGGCCAACUUCAAAAACCUAGGAAAAGGAAAUACGAUUGAGGAAUAUGAAGAUUGGAGAUUCGGAGGAAGGGGGAUUCAGUAGGAUCCAUACAUAAAACGACGAACAGCAAUGCCGAUGGCCGAAGAUGGGAAGAUCGGCGUUGGUGAUGGCCAAUGAGGGAAGACGGAAGAUCGGUGUCACUGCAUUGACGAUGGCCGAUUGGAGGAGAUGGAAGAUUGGAGGUGGGGAUGGCCAAUGGAGGAACAUAAAAAACCGGCAUCGGCGAUGGGGGAAGACGGAAGAUGGAAGACGGCGUCGGCCAGGGGCUAGGGUUCUUCAAACCUCGAUGGGGGAAGUCGAGACUCAGGAGACACCGAAGAUGGAUGGGGAAGUCGGGAAGAAAGAUUGACAGCCGAUAGAUAGGAA
rnacentral:lncRNA from 1 species